rnacentral:rRNA from 1 species
AUUGAACGCUGGCGGCAGGCCUAACACAUGCAAGUCGAGCGAGCGGCGGACGGGGGAGGAAUGUAUGGGGACCGCCCGAUAGAGGGGGAUAACUACUGGACACGGUAGCUAAUACCGCAUACUAUCGGAUAACCCAUAUGGGAUUAGCUAGUAGGUGAGGUAAUGGCUCACAAAGGCGACGAUCCCUAGCUGGUCUGAGAGGAUGAUCAGCCACACUGGGACUGAGACACGGCCCAGACUCCUACGGAGGCAGCAGUGGGGAAUCUUGCACAAUGGGCGAAAGCCUGAGGCAGCCAUGCCGCGUGUGUGAAGAAGGUCCUAGGGUUGUAAAGCACUUUCGUUAGGGAAGCGGUAUCUACAGAAGAAGCACCGGCUAACUCCGUGCCAGCAGCCGCGGUAAUUC